rnacentral:rRNA from 1 species
UACGUAGGGGGCGAGCGUUGUCCGGAUUUAUUGGGCGUAAAGAGCGUGUAGGCGGCCAGGUAGGUCUGCUGUGAAAACUCGAGGCUCAACCUCGAGACGUCGGCGGAAACCAUCUGGCUAGAGUCCGGAAGAGGAGAGUGGAAUUCCUGGUGUAGCGGUGGAAUGCGCAGAUAUCAGGAAGAACACCCGUGGCGAAGGCGGCUCUCUGGGACGGUACUGACGCUGAGACGCGGAAGCGUGGGGAGCGAACAGG